AUGUUAUCCAUCCUAGCAAUGGAACCACUGCAAUGGAUGUUCGCCAAGGCCACCGAGGAAGGAAUCCUUUCCCAGAUCAAGCAGAAGGAUAUUGGGAUUAGAACUAGCCUGUAUGCAGAUGACGCGACACUAUUCUUAAACCCAGUGAGACAUGAAGUGGUGGCCACUCAACGGAUUAUAAGAAGAUUCGGAGACAUUACUGGGCUAAUGAUUAAUCUGGAGAAGUGCGUAGCCUACAAGAUAAGAUGCAAUGAUACUGACCAUGCACAAACUUUGGUGGAUUUUGGGGGUUCGGAGGGUUCUCUGCCAUGCAAGUAUUUAGGCCUCCCACUUAGUACAAGGAAGCCGAGGCGGGCAGAGAUGCAACCAAUCCUUGACAAGGCCAGGGCGAGGAUCAAGCCAUGGAAAGGAAAGAUGGUGAAUAGGACUGGAAGACUAGCCUUGAUUAACUCGGUGCUCACUGCAAUCGCGACUUAUUACCUCACUUGCUUCGCUGCGGACAAGUGGGCUUCCAAAAAGCUGGACAUAUUCAGAAGAAGCUUUCUUUGGGCCGGAGAAGAGGAGGUUAGCAGAGGGAAAUACAUGGUCAAUUGGAAGCAAUGCUGCACCCCCAGAAAAUUUGGAGGCCUGGGCAUCAAGAACAUCGAGUUGUACAGCAGAUCGCUAAGGUUACGGUGGCUGUUGUAUGAGUGGGACUUGGUUGAGCUACCUUGGAAGGGAAAGCAGGUUCCCUGGGAUCGCACGGACAAAACACUUUUUACCGCUUGCACUUCAAUCACUCUUGGGAAUGGGAAAAUCUCCCGGUUCUGGCACAAUCGUUGGCUUGCGGGAGAAUCUCCAAGAGACAUCGCACCUGACAUUUUUAAGCUGGCCUGGAGGAAGAACUUGACGGUCUCUGAAGCCUUGACUGAGGGAACAUGGAUGCGAGGCGCUCAACGGAUAACUGCAGAAAAUCAAAUCCACCAAUUCAUUUUGUUGUUGGAGAAGGUUCAGACAGUACAUCUAAAUAAUAACAGAGUUGCGAUCUCUUGGAACCGUUCAUGCAACGGAUCAUACUCUGCCAGGUCAGCUUAUGAAGCACAGUUCAUUGGCCGCAUCGAACAACCACACCUGGCGAUGGUCUGGAGGACAAAAGUUGAGCCCAAAGUGCAGUUUUAUACAUGGCUGCUGCUGCAAAAUCGGAAUUGGACUACCGACAGGGUCGGCCGUCGUGGAUUUGUGACUAGGCUCCAGAAACAACGCUGCAUCUCCUACUCACUUGCCCCUAUGCUGAAGAGCUAUGGGUUGCUGCCCGGAGUCUCCACUCGCAAGUUGCUGAAAUUGCACUGGGUGCAACCUCCAUCCGCUCUUGGUGGCACAAAAUCAACACCAGUGUUCCCAAGGAUGCACGCCACGAGCAGAUCCGCUUUGCUGUGUACAUUGCCUGGAACAUUUGGAAGGAGCGGAACCGUCGCGUUUUCCAGGCGACAAAUGCGCAGGUCCCAACCAUUUUGCAGCUUGUGA
rnacentral:rRNA from 1 species